rnacentral:rRNA from 1 species
AACGUAGGAGGCGAGCGUUAUCCGGAUUCACUGGGCGUAAAGCGCGUGCAGGUGGUUCGGUAAGUUGGGCGUGAAAUCUCCCGGCUCAACUGGGAGAGGUCGUUCAAUACUACCGGACUUGAGAGCAGAAGAGGAAGAUGGAAUUCCCGGUGUAGUGGUGAAAUGCGUAGAUAUCGGGAGGAACACCAGUGGCGAAGGCGAUCUUCUGGUCCGUUUCUGACACUCAGACGCGACAGCUAGGGUAGUAAACGGGAUUAGAGACCCCGGUAAUCCUAGCCGUAAACGAUGUGAACUUGGCGUUGGUGGGUUAAACUCCAUCAGUGCCGAAGCAAACGCGAUAAGUUCACCGCCUGGGGACUACGGCCGCAAGGUUAAAACUCAAAGGAAUUGACGGGGGCCCGCACAAGCAGCGGAGCGUGUGGUUUAAUUCGAUGCUACACGAAGAACCUUACCCAGGCUUGACAUACAGGUGGUAGAGAUCCGAAAGGUGACCGACCCGCAAGGGAGCCUGAACAGGUGUUGCAUGGCUGUCGUCAGCUCGUGUCGUGAGAUGCUCGGUUAAGUCCGCUAACGAGCGCAACCCUCGCCGCGUGUUAUACGUGUCACGCGGGACCGCCGGUAUUAAGCCGGAGGAAGGCGGGGAUGACGUCAAGUCAGCAUGGCCUUUAUGCCUGGGGCUACACACACGCUACAAUGGGCAGUACAAUGGGUUGCCAAGCCGCGAGGUGGAGCCAAUCCCGCAAAACUGUCCUCAGUUCAGAUUGCAGGCUGCAACUCGCCUGCAUGAAGCUGGAGUUGCUAGUAAACGCGCGUCAGCUAUAGUGCGUUGAAUACGUUCUCGGGCCU